AUCUAGCUGAAAAGUUCCAAAUAGGACUAAACAUGCGUCCUGGAU
rnacentral:hammerhead_ribozyme from 1 species